AACAACUUGGAAGCACGGAGGGCUUCGUGCUUCCAGAAGCAUACCAGCCCACUCUGAUGAUAUAUGUUUGUUUUUACCAUCUUUUUGAGUAAAAUCUGCUGUAAUAAUAUAGAUUAAUAUCAAUAGAGACUUAGUAUGCAAAAUUUUUACUCUUCGCGGUUUGCAAAUUUGGAUAACUACUUUGUAAUUUUUGAUCGUAUGUUUAGAUCAACUAUACAUGAAUAUCAUGUAAUCUUUUGCUCUGCUUAGCACUGUACUAGUAUAUUCAGAUUCUUUCAAGAAUAAUAGAACUUUCACAUGGUUGGAUCGUUUUGUGAUGCUAACUAGCUAAUAAGCAAUUUUCACAUGGCUGGAUCUUUUUGUGAUGCAUGCUACCUAAUAUUCGGCGAUCAACUUUCUCGUGAUAUUCAAGUUGUUGCCUUUUGCAGUAAUGAACCGUCGUGCCUCUGUCAUUGUCGCAUAACAGUUGCAACUACUGGGUUAUCGGGCAGAUGCUUGCAUGCUUAGCUAAGUUCUCAUUUGGUACUGUUGUAAUUUCUUCUGCUUUGUUAAACACAGCUUUUAAGCAAUGGAGCUUCAGGAUGGAUGGCCGAGUACGCCAAGCACUCGUAGUCUACACAAUAACCGAUGUUUGUUUGGCAAUGGAAAAGGCUAAAACUUAGGCCUCGAUAUAUAUAUUUUUGUUCUUUUUUAAGCAUUUUAUAUAAAUUUGUACAUGAGAUGUAUAGGAA